UACUAUAUAGUUUAAAUUAAAACAUUAAUCUUGUAAAUUAAAUAUAAAUUUUUUACAAUUUUAUAGUAA
rnacentral:tRNA from 1 species